AUCAUAUUUCUUUGCAAGAUUUCAGCCUUUAUCACUCAUGAUAUCCGGACCACUAACUCGGAACGAGGAAGAAGGAAGGAGAAAAGAGUGGAGUAAGAGAAGCGAAAGACACUUUUCAACUAGCUCAAACCCACCUGUUAGAGUAAACCCACCUGUUAGAGUAGCAAGCUGGUUACCGCUUGAAGUCGAAGGCGGGAAAGGGGUAAUGCUUAGAGGAUUGGACGGGCUUGCUUAUCUUAGUCGCCCCGCCUAAGGUGGGUACACGGGAGGGUGAAGGCGAAACAAAAAUCACGGGAGGGUGAAGGUGAAACAAAAAUAGAAUGGACUGAUUCGCCUUCCUUCAAAUAUUGGACCGGGAAAAAAAAGGGGAGAAAGUAAAGCCUUUCGCAUCUCAUAUUCACUUUGAUUUGAGAAUAAUUUUUUUACUCCAAAAGUUGGUUGGCCCCAAAAAGAAAGAGAAUCUCAUCCAUUAGAGGAUUAUCUUCUUUGUUACAUUUGUCAAACUUAUACCAACGAGAAAGUGAUCGCAUUUAUUUCCAAGGGGUAAAACCAUUAUUUAACACCCUCAAACUCUGUCUUUAAAAGUAAAAAUCAUCAUAUUUUUUGGACUAUAUCUGCUGCUGGUCAUCAAUACCAACUACAUUAUUGAAUGAAACCAUUGUGUACACGGAAGAGAUAUGGACUCUCUCCUGCAACUAUACAACACAAAAUGACAACAAGCUUUCUUUCGUCACCCUGCUCUUAAAGUCUUCUUAACCAAUCA